rnacentral:lncRNA from 1 species
CCUUCCCUGAGGAGACCCCUCCCCACGUGCUGUGUGACGGCUGGGUCGUGUCACUUUUCUCAUCCCAGGGUGGCUCGAGCUGAUGGCUCAGCUCACAUGGCCACCCCAGCAUGCGAGCAGCUCCUUUAAGAGGCACCUGUCAGGAGGAAAGAAGGAAUGCACCUCUUCAGCUUAUUUCCACCUUGGGUCUCAUUACAGCAAAACUAAGACUGGCAGUUGGACUGAAGUUGAAAGCUCAGCUUCUCUGGGAAUAGCUCCAAGACCACCGACCGCCAGGUGUGCAGAGCCCAUCUCUACCAUCUCCAGGACAAGGUGGAGUCCCGUGGUCAUGGCUGGACUUGGACAAGGGUGCUUCAGGAUGGGUGACCUGUGA